rnacentral:rRNA from 1 species
CUUUCGAGUGCCCUUGGGGAACUGUAAGACAGGUUGGUGCAUGGUUGUCGUCAGCUCGUGUCGUGAGAUGUUGGGUUAAGUCCCGCAACGAGCGCAACCCCUAUGUUUAGUUGCUAGCGAGUAAGGUCGAGCACUCUAGACAGACUGCCGGUGAUAACCGGAGGAAGUGGGAUGACGUCAAAUCAUCAUGCCCCUUAUGUUCUGGGCUACACACGUGCUACAAUGGCCGGUACAAACGGAAGCGAAGCCGCGAGGUGAAGCAAAUCUGAUAAAACCGGUCUCAGUUCGGAUUGCAGGCUGCAACUCGCCUGCAUGAAGUCGGAAUCGCUAGUAAUCGCAGGUCAGCAUACUGCGGUGAAUACGUUCCCGGGCCUU